CAUAUCUCUACUUGACAUACGAAGUCCGAAAAGGGGAGGAAGUGGGUGUUUGUGUGUUGUUAUUGUCAAACAAUGGCAAGUCGCUCGUACAUUGGGGGUGUAUGAUCUCAUAAAAAAGGAUUUGAAUCGUUUGAAUGGUUGUGCCAUGCCGGCAGCGGCUAAAUUAAGGAAAUAUGAAGAACAUAACGUACGCAGUUUGAGAAACAAGAUGUUGAAAUCUGCAUGUGGAUAGACAGUACAGUAUUGUAACACUUCGCAGACGUGAACAAGUUGUCAGUAUAGCUCUGUUGCAGUAUAUGUUGUAAUGUUGAAUUGCAGUGCAUACGGACUCCCACUGACAGUGAAGUCAAGAAAUAUCAGUAUAGGGCUGUAAUUAUACUAAGCGUGUAAAUACUCGGAAGAAGUGCAGAUUACAAUGUCACCAAGACCUGGUAUGCCUCCAGGCACGAGUACUGACGCACCACCAUCACCGCCUCCCAAUGAACCGCCGUCACCAAGACAGAUGAAAUGUGCUGAAGGGUUGCCAGAGCCUCCUGGUCUAAAUGACGUUGAGAUCAUUCUCAGACCUAAUCGUACCUUAAUGGGAAGGAAUUGCACAGUCGUUAAAUCAUUAAAAUUGAGAGCUACACGUUACCUGCGAACAACGAUUAAUGCUUCAAUUGAUCACUUGAAGGAGUACUUGCAGUAUUGUUUGUCACGUGACCUGCAAUGUGAUAUUAAAGUGGCAGACAUGUCUAUUUAUGUACAACCAGCACCUCAUGGCCCGAUGAUUGAAGUUAAGGGAACCCAGACAAUCCGUUGUGUCCGGUACAAGUACUGGAGGUUUAGCUUAUCACCUAUUACACUUUAUUAUUGCUGCAAGAAAGGCUGAUUUCACAGUAUUCACCUACAUUUUUCAGGCAUGAAUGUACGGUAAUGAAAAAAGGACUCUGAAAUGGAUAUUGAGACAACCCAUAAUUUAUUUACAAAAUGAUGAGCAAUAAAAGUGUUUGUAUAAUGGUUAUGAAAACUAGAAUUUUGAGAGAUUUCACGUGUGAAAAAGAUUUGAGCAUAUGUGAGACAACUUGGGAGCACACAAAUUUGGCUGUGCAUUAGCGAUUGUCAGUAGUGAUAAACUGUAAGUAAGUUUAAGUUAUCUUGCUAUAUUUCAUCAGUUGCAAGGAAUGUAAGACCUAUUCGUUUGUAUAAAGAAAGUGGUCUCUUGUACAUAAUUACUAGUCAGAAUUCAUAUAUUACUGAAAAAUAUAUUAUUUGAAACCAAACAUAGAACACUUGACACAGUCUAGUUACCCCCAAGACUAAACAUAUACCAAGUUAAAUAUUUCUAUAACAGACCUCAUCUAAAUGCUUUCCUCACUUCUUGAAACUAGAUGCAGGUAGUCUACAAGACUAGUUACCUUAUAUCCUUUUCCCUUGAUUUUCAUUCUUUCCUUCCCUCCUUCAAUUCCUUUUAUCUGAUCUUUUAACCUGUUGUAGGUAAUGAUAUUCCAUAUUUGUCUGGAACCAUAACUGUAGGGUCAUGUAGCAGCAAUAAUAUAAGGCCUUGAUGACAACAGAAACAGUCGUUGACUGCACUAGGGUAACUUUACUGAUUGAAAUUUCAGUGCUAUUCAUUCACAAUGAGACAAUCCCAAACAUGCAUAACAAUAAAACCCUUUAUAGUCACAAUUUCUACUGGAAGAGACAGACUGAUUAUAGGAAGUGAGAGAGAGAAUCUGUAACAUAUCUUGCUCUGCUGUGGCAAUUGAGAGACUGUACAUGUCAGCUGUUGACUAAAUUAAAAAAAAAAAAAAAAAAAAAAAAAAGCCAACCCCAGUAAAUGAGCAUAUUUGCUGCUCACUGAAAAGUAUUUUAUCAAAGUAAUAUUUGCAGUCUAGGAAUAUAACACUGUUGUGUUAUAUAAUAGUCCAGUGUAAUCAUUCACUUCCUAAACGUGUAUAUGAAAUCUAAUGCUAAACAGUAAUCCAAAUAAUAUCCAUUUAAAGUCUAGAAUCUUGUGCAAGUAGUUAGGUGGUUACACAUUACAACAGCUUUCUGCACAUUUUGUCUCAACACUCUUUGUUGUCAUUGCAUUAAUAAAAGAUGCACUCAUACAACUGUAGUGUGCAUUUUCACACAUUUUAAUGUAAUUUUUAAGCAUGUUAAUGGAGGAAAUUGUAACAGACUGAAGUCCCAUGUUAAUAUUAACAACUUUAGAAACUCUCUCUUCCUAUCCUUUCAUUCAAUAUUACUAGAUUUCUUAAUACUGAAUGAGUCAUCCACAAUGUGUGUACCACAUCAGUAAACAUGUAUUCAAUGGUUAAACGGUAGGCAGUCAGCUUUAAGAAGUGAGUGUGCCUUUGUUUAUGCAGUCCUUAUAAUGAAUGGUGGCUGUUUAUUGUUCUGUCCAAUCAUUGUACUCAACUACAUGCACUGGUUGACUGCUAAAACUGUGCAUAUUCUGUUAGUGGAUGAUGCAUGUUUCUUAAAUUUAUCUUUUCAUGGUAUAUUACCAGCAAGAUGAAUCUUGCUGUGAGAACAUUCUCAGAUAAACACUAAAAGUGAUGGAUUUGCAUGUUUUGCAUGACCACUGUUUUGUUUUUAACAAACCUAAUUCAAUAUUCAAAGGUCGACAUAUCACGUCUUGUAAAUUUUUCGGUGGUUAAGUUCACUUUUCAUUUUUUUAUCAUCCCAGGAAUUAUUACUAAUAAAGUUCUUGAGCCCUAAAGAAGUUACUUCUGGCUUUUUUAAUCAACUGAUAAGAUAUCAGGAAAGUCAUUGUACAUGGGAAGUUCCUCACCUACAAAUAAGUAUUGUGGGUAUGGGGGAAAAAAAAUACGAAUUGUGUUCUCUUGUGCAAGUGAUUUUUGAUUUUGAUAGACCAAAUCCAACUUCAGUGAUAAUUAUACAGCAUAUGAGGUUAGCCACACAGCAGGUAGUAUGCAUUUGAUAUCAUCUUGACUAGUGCAGUAUUGGAGCAUUUUUAAUUCUGAAUUAUAAUGCAUGUCAAAUACUUUUUCAUUGUGAGUUAGAUAUCUAACUUAAUUUAAACUAGUGAGAGUAGGAUGUGGGUAUGAGUUUGGGGAAGGGUAUGUGGAAAGAGGCUAUUGAAAAUGAUUGUCAUAUGUUAAUCAUUGCAGUUAAUAAGAUUCAUCAUCUUAUGGGGUAUCCAUUGCAGUACUUCUGGAUGACUUAUAAUAUCAGAAUCUUUAACAAUACAGUACUCUGUAAGUAGGCAAGAUUAGAGAAACAGAUGUGUGCAAGCACUCAAUCUGUUAUAAGAAAUUUGAAUUUUACAGCCUUGACAUUUGCUUGUAGCUAAACAUAUGAAAGAUGUUAUUAAUACUUACAGCAAUUUACAAACUGAUUGACUAAAAAUUAUGGUAUUAAAAAGUAGAGUUUGUCAAAGAACAAUUAUUUAAUCUGAUUGUAUUAUUAGUACACUGGUCAGCUCUAUUAAUUUAAUUUUAAUAAUAGAAACUAGAACAUUCUGAAAUCCACUAUAAUUCCUCUAAUUGCAAUGCAUUACAGAAUCACAUACAUUAAUUUUCCCUUCUUAUAAGGCCAUAUAUAAUAUUGUUGUUGUUGUUGUUUUCUGUCUGAAGACUGACUUGAUGCAGCUCUUCAUACUACACCAUCCUGUGCAAGCUUUUUUAUCUCCAAAUAACUACUGCAAGCUACAUCCUUUCAAAUCUGCUUACUGUGUUCAUCUCUUGUUCUCUCUCUACAAUCUCCCCCCCCCCUCCCCCUCCCCCCUCCCCCCUCCUUACUUACCUCCAGUACUAAAUUGGUGAUCCCUUGAUGUCUCAGAAUGUGUCCUAUUAACCAAUCCCUUCUUUUAGUCAAGUUGUGGCAUAAAUUUCUUUUCUCCUCUCAUUAGUUACAUGAUCUACCCAUCUAAUCUUCAGCAUUUUUCUGUAGCACCAUAUUACAAAGGUUUCUGUUCUCUUCGUGCCUAAGCUGUUUAUGAGCUCUGUUUCAUUUCCAUAUAUGGUUAUGGUGCAGACAAAUACCUUCAGAAAAGACUUCCAAACAUCUAAAUGUGUAUCUGAUAUUACCAAAGUUCUCUUCUUUAGCAAUGCUUCUCUCGCUAUUGCCAGUCACAUUUUAUAUCCUGUCUAGUUUGGCCAUCAUUAUCUGUCUUACUGCCCAUAUAGCAAAACUUGUUUCCUACUUAUAGUGUCUCAUUUUGUAAUCUAAUUCCGGACUACAUUCCAUUACUCUUGUUUUGCUUUUGUUGGUGUUAUUCUUAUAUCCUCCUUUCAAGACACUGUCCAUUCUGUUCAACUUCUCUUCCAAGUCCUUUGCUGUCAUUGAUAAACCCUAAAAGUUUUUAUUUCUUCUCCCUAAACUUUAAUUCCAUCUUUGUUAGUUACUUUCAUGUUCCAUGGAUCAUUUUGCACAAUAAAUUUUAAUGCUGUGGAAUGAAUUUUACAUUCACAUUGCAAAUUAAUUUGUAAAUGUGGCUAUUUCCUUCUGGUAUUGUGGUUAUGUACAUCAUUGUUUCUUUUGAACUGCAGUGGAUUAUUUACAACAAACUUCAUGAGGGAAUUAUUACACUGUGAAGCAGUAGUCAGAAUACGUAACUCCUUAAACAGAUGUCUGCAAGAUGAUCAUGUGUGAGCACCUCAUGUUAUUAUUAGAGCAUGUUUUCUUUCAUAAAGAUUUGUUUCUCCAAAACUUUGUUCCAUAGGACAUCAGUGAAUGAAUGAAAAGAUCCAAAAUAUGUCAACUCACUGAUUUGUCUCUCCCAAAGAUUCGCUAUGAUUUUAAGUGCAAAAGUGAAGUAAGUUUUUUUGUGUUUCAAAUUUUUCUUUGGUGUCCUUUACUGCUUGCUCAGUGUACAGAUUGAAUAACAUUGGGGAUAGGCUACAACCCUGUCUGUCUCCUCUCAACCACUGCUUCCCUUCCAUGCCCCUUGACUCACAUAACUGCGGUGUGGUUACUGUGCAAGUCGUAAAUAACCUUUUGUCCCCUGUAUUUUAUCCUGACUGCCUUCAAAAUUUCAAAGCCUUUAUUCCAGUCAGCAUUGUCAAAUACUAUCUUUAAACCUACAAAUGCUAUAAAUGUUGUCAAAUACUAUCUUUAAACCUACAAAUGCUAUAAAUGUAAGUUGGCCUUUAUCUUCGUAGGGAAAUUGUAUGGUCAGUAUUGCUUCGAGUGUUCCUGUAUUUUUCAGGAAUCCAAAUUGAACUUCCCGUGAGGUCACCUCCUACCAGUUGUUCCAUUCUUCUGUAAAGAAUCCAUGUUAGGAAUUUUCAACCGUGACUAAUGAAACUGAUAGAUUGGUAAUAUUCACAAAUGUAAAUCCUUGUAAAGAUAUUAAAAUUCUGACCUUUUGUGACUGCUUGCUUUCAAAAUUAUUUUCCUUUCCCUGUAAUCAACAUUGCUGUUACACACUAGUGACUUGGAGGUAGUUGCUUCAAAUCCUUUUGAUGGAAAUUUUCAUCAUCAGCAUUUCACCAACAAAUGUAUAAUCCGACUGUGGAAGUGAAUUAGCUUAAAUUGUGAAUUUGUCAAAGAUUUCCAAUGAAAUGAGAGUAUAUGAUACUUUUCUUCCCCUGUUUGAAUAGAAUAAACUAAGUUCCAACAUGAGGUUUCAUUCUUUUGCUUCUCUCGCAUCAUCAUCAUCAUCAUCAUCAUCAUCAUCAUCAUCAUUACAAGCAACAGAAGCAAUCACCACUAACACGUGAUGUUAUACUGUACAAAACUACUGUCACCUGUCAAUAUCUACAGCAUUUACACCAAAGACACUAAUCAUGUUUUGGCACAGAAACAUGUCUAAAGGGUGACAAAUAAAGAAAUCCUUAUAAAUGUAGGCAACUGAAUGCAUAGAGAGCAUCUCAGCCACCAACACUAUGUAACUGCAUUUUUAAGAGGUGCAUCUGAAGAAGGAAUGUAGAAGGAUGUGUAAAUAUAGUGAUGUGAAAAUUGCAAGCUGGCAAUCAUAUUUUCUGGAAAGAAUAGCGUGCUGAAAUUAUGAAAUAUAUUGAAUCAUUAUUUAAGCGAUACUCAACAUUUUUAAGAAUGACUACAGUUCACAUAACUAUUGAAAAAUCUUGUUGAUUUCAAUUGAUGCCACUUUCCUUCUUCACCCAACAGUCCUAGAAGUUUUGGUUAUUAUUUUAUUCUUAAAUAAAUAUUGAAAGAAUUUUUACUUGGCAGAUGGCACUAUAGAUAAUAAUAUAAAAAGGCACUAAAUAUCAGAUUCAGAAAUUGCUUCAUUGGCCAAGUGAAGGGAAUAGGACAGCUGCAUCGUGAAGUAGGAAAGUUGUCAAGGUCAAUUGGGCCCAGUAAAAAGAGCAGUUAUUGUUUUAUGAUUUUUGAAUCCAUUAGUUUUGUUGUAAUACAAUGACAUUUUAUGAUUUUUACCUCCACUACUAAACAAACCUGUGGUAGUUCUAGUAUAAAAAUAUGUUUGUUGCAUACAGUGUUGCAUGGACCAUGUUAUAUUUUAAUACUUUAUGAAGUUGAUUAUAUUUGUUUAAAAUAACCUGCUCGGGAACCGUUACAAUUAUAUUUGUAUUCUACACAUUCAUUUCCUUGUUGGUUCCUCGUGACAGCUAAGAGGAAAGAAGCAGUGAUACAUUAAUAUAGAAUGAUUUAAAGACCUUGUGUUGAUUCUGCUGCUACCUAUAUUUACAGCAGACUUGAUAGCUGUUCAUAAUUGUUAUGUGGCUCUAUGAAUGCAACUGAGAAAAUGAGUUGAAAUUAUAGAUGAAAUAUGAUGUUAAUUUCAUCUUGGUGUAACAGAAUCAUAUAGAAAUUAAAAGCUUAUUUUAUAUUGA